UAGAUCUACAUAUCAUAUACG
rnacentral:piRNA from 1 species